rnacentral:rRNA from 1 species
GACGUAGGGCGCGAGCGUUGUCCGGAUUUAUUGGGCGUAAAGAGCUCGUAGGCGGUCUGUUGCGUCCGCUGUGAAAACUCGGGGCUUAACCCCGAGCCUGCAGUGGAUACGGGCAGACUAGAGGUAGGUAGGGGAGAAUGGAAUUCCACGUGUAGCGGUGAAAUGCGUAGAGAUGUGGAGGAACACCAGUGGCGAAGGCGACUCUUUGGCCUGUAACUGACGCUGAGGCGCGAAAGCGUGGGGAGCAAACAGG